UGAAGAGUUUGAUCAUGGCUCAGAUUGAACGCUGGCGGCAGGCUUAACACAUGCAAGUCGAACGAUGAUUAUCUAGCUUGCUAGAUAUGAUUAGUGGCGGACGGGUGAGUAACAUUUAGGAAUCUGCCUAGUAGUGGGGGAUAGCUCGGGGAAACUCGAAUUAAUACCGCAUACGACCUACGGGUGAAAGGGGGCGCAAGCUCUUGCUAUUAGAUGAGCCUAAAUCAGAUUAGCUAGUUGGUGGGGUAAAGGCCCACCAAGGCGACGAUCUGUAACUGGUCUGAGAGGAUGAUCAGUCACACCGGAACUGAGACACGGUCCGGACUCCUACGGGAGGCAGCAGUGGGGAAUAUUGGACAAUGGGCGAAAGCCUGAUCCAGCCAUGCCGCGUGUGUGAAGAAGGUCUUCGGAUUGUAAAGCACUUUAAGUUGGGAGGAAGGGCAGUAAAUUAAUACUUUGCUGUUUUGACGUUACCGACAGAAUAAGCACCGGCUAACUCUGUGCCAGCAGCCGCGGUAAUACAGAGGGUGCAAGCGUUAAUCGGAAUUACUGGGCGUAAAGCGCGCGUAGGUGGCCAAUUAAGUCAAAUGUGAAAUCCCCGAGCUUAACUUGGGAAUUGCAUUCGAUACUGGUUGGCUAGAGUAUGGGAGAGGAUGGUAGAAUUCCAGGUGUAGCGGUGAAAUGCGUAGAGAUCUGGAGGAAUACCGAUGGCGAAGGCAGCCAUCUGGCCUAAUACUGACACUGAGGUGCGAAAGCAUGGGGAGCAAACAGGAUUAGAUACCCUGGUAGUCCAUGCCGUAAACGAUGUCUACUAGCCGUUGGGGCCUUUGAGGCUUUAGUGGCGCAGCUAACGCGAUAAGUAGACCGCCUGGGGAGUACGGUCGCAAGAUUAAAACUCAAAGGAAUUGACGGGGGCCCGCACAAGCGGUGGAGCAUGC
rnacentral:rRNA from 1 species